rnacentral:tRNA from 1 species
GCUCUGGCGGCUCAAUCGGAGCCCGAUUAUCGGACAGAACGCUGGGUUUAUGUCCCAAUGGUUGCGGAUUCAAGCCCCGCCCAGAAUA